rnacentral:rRNA from 1 species
GACAGAGGGUGCUAGCGUUGUUCGGAAUUACUGGGCGUAAAGGGCGUGUAGGCGGCAAAGUAUGUCCGUUGUGAAAGCCCUCGGCUUAACCGGGGAAGUGCAUCGGAAACUACUUAGCUAGAGUUUAGGAGAGGGUGGCGGAAUUCCCAGAGUAGAGGUGAAAUUCGUAGAUACUGGGAGGAACACCUGAGGCGAAGGCGGCCACCUGGCCUAUUACUGACGCUGAUACGCGAAAGCGUGGGGAGCAAACAGG